AUUGAACGCUGGCGGCAUGCUUUACACAUGCAAGUCGGACGAGUGGCGAACUGGUGAGUAAUAUAUUGGCACGUACCUAGUAUUGGGGUAUAACCAAUCGAACGAUUGGCUAAUACCGCAUAUUAUUCGAGCGGCCCUUAUCUGUUGAGCUAGUGGGUGGGGUAAAGGCCUACCAAGGCGACGAUCAGUAGCGGGUCUGAGAGGAUGAUCCGCCACACUGGGACUGAGACACGGCCCAGACUCCGACGGGAGGCAGCAGUGGGGAAUUUUGGACAAUGGGCGAAAGCCUGAUCCAGCAAUGCCGCGUGUGUGAAGAAGGCCUUCGGGUUGUAAAGGACUGUUGUUAGGGAAGCGGUACCUAAAGAAUAAGCACCGGCUAACUACGUGCCAGCAGCCGCGGUAAUAC
rnacentral:rRNA from 1 species